AAAGACAGAGCAGCACUUCAAGCCCUAUCUGAAGCAGCAUCUCCCCAAGCGCCUUCACUACGCCAACAACAGGAGAAUAGAGGACAUCCACCUGUUAGUGGAGAGGAAGUGGCAUAUCGCAAGGAAGUCUCCAGAAGGAGGAAAGAGGCACCCUGGGAAAUGUGGUUUUGCAGGAGAUCACGGUUAUGACAACAAGAUAAACAGCAUGCAGACUAUUUUCUUUGGAUAUGGACCAAUGUUUAAAUUCAAGACCAAAGUGCCAGUUUUUGAAAACAUUGAACUAUACAAUGUCAUGUGUGGUAAGGCAUCUUCAUUAUUGUUUUAACUUGAGGGAGGCAAACAGUAGCACUCAUCAGCCCAAACUCAUACAGUAGCACUCAUCAGCCCAAACUCAUACAGUAGCACUCAUCAGCCCAAACUCAUACAGUAGCACUCAUCAGCCCAAACUCAUACAGUAGCACUCAUCAGCCCAAACUCAUACAGUAGCACUCAUCAGCCCAAACUCAUACAGUAGCACUCAUCAGCCCAAACUCAUACAGUAGCACUCAUCAGCCCAA